GACGUAGGGGGCGAGCGUUGUCCGGAAUCAUUGGGCGUAAAGCGCGCGCAGGCGGCCCGGUAAGUCGGUUGUGAAAACCCGUGGCUCAACCACGGGCCUGCAUCCGAUACUGUCGGGCUCGAGGCAGGUAGGGGAGAUCGGAAUUCCUGGUGUAGCGGUGAAAUGCGCAGAUAUCAGGAGGAACACCGGUGGCGAAGGCGGAUCUCUGGGCCUGUCCUGACGCUCAGGCGCGAAAGCUGGGGGAGCAAACAGGAUUAGAAACCCCCGUAGUCC
rnacentral:rRNA from 1 species